rnacentral:rRNA from 1 species
UACGAAGGGGGCUAGCGUUGUUCGGAAUUACUGGGCGUAAAGCGCACGUAGGCGGAAUGUUAAGUCAGGGGUGAAAUCCCGGGGCUCAACCCCGGAACUGCCUUUGAUACUGGCAUUCUCGAGUCCGGAAGAGGUGAGUGGAAUUCCGAGUGUAGAGGUGAAAUUCGUAGAUAUUCGGAGGAACACCAGUGGCGAAGGCGGCUCACUGGUCCGGUACUGACGCUGAGGUGCGAAAGCGUGGGGGAGCAAACAGG